GUGCCAGCAGCCGCGGUAAUACGAGGGGUCCUAGCGUUGUUCGGAAUCAUUGGGCGUAAAGCGUCUGUAGGCGGCUUUGUAAGUCGGGUGUGAAAGCCCCAGGCUCAACCUGGGAAGUGCAUUCGAUACUGCAUAGCUUGAAUGUUGGAGAGGAUAGUAGAAUUCCAGGUGUAGUGGUGAAAUACGUAGAUAUCUGGAGGAAUACCGGUGGCGAAGGCGGCUAUCUGGCCAAACAUUGACGCUGAGAGACGAAAGCAUGGGGAUCAAACAGGAUUAGAUACCCUUGUAGUCC
rnacentral:rRNA from 1 species